AUUGAACGCUGGCGGCAGGCCUAACACAUGCAAGUCGAACGAGUGGCGGACGGGUGAGUAAUGUCUGGGAAACUGCCUGAUGGAGGGGGAUAACUACUGGAAACGGUAGCUAAUACCGCAUACCAUCGGAUGUGCCCAGAUGGGAUUAGCUUGUAGGUGGGGUAACGGCUCACCUAGGCGACGAUCCCUAGCUGGCCUGAGAGGAUGACCAGCCAAUCUGGAACUGAGGCACGGUCCAGACUCCUACGGGAGGGAGCAGUGGGGAAUAAUGCACAAUGGGCGCAAGCCUGAUGAAGCCAUGCCGCGUGUAUGAAGAAGGCCUUCGGGUUGUAAAGUACUGUCAGCGGGGAGGCGUUACCCGAAGAAGAAGCACCGGCUAACUCCGUGCCAGAAGCCGCGGUAAUUA
rnacentral:rRNA from 1 species